CCUACGGGAGGCAGCAGUGAGGAAUAUUGGUCAAUGGGCGCAAGCCUGAACCAGCCAAGUCGCGUGAGGGAUGACGGUCCUAUGGAUUGUAAACCUCUUUUGUCGGGGAGCAAGGCACGCCACGUGUGGAGGGAAGGAGAGUACCCGAAGAAAACGCAUCGGCAAACUCCGUGCCAGCAGCUGCGGUAAUACGGAGGAUGCGAGCGUUAUCCGGAUUUAUUGGGUUUAAAGGGUGCGUAGGCGGAAUGCCAAGUCAGCGGUAAAAUCGCGGGGUUCAACCUCUCUCCGCCGUUGAAACUGGCGUUCUGGAGUGGGCGAGAAGUAUGCGGAAUGUGUGGUGUAGCGGUGAAAUGCAUAGAUAUCACGCAGAACUCCGAUUGCGAAGGCAGCAUACCGGCGCCCAACUGACGCUGAAGCACGAAAGCGUGGGUAUCGAACAGGAUUAGAUACCCUAGUAGUC
rnacentral:rRNA from 1 species